CUCAACCCGCGUUCCUUCCUCUCCCAUGGGGAGGAGCGCCGGCGCGAGGAGGAUUCUCGAGCACGCUCCAUUCUGCCGGGACCUUCCCACCGGAGCUGCACGGGGUACGAGAGGCGGGCCCGGGCGCGUUCCCAGACCCCUCAGUCCUCGAGGAACCCGCGCUCCAGUCGGUCCCCCUCUCGCCGCUCCUUGUCUCCCACCCACCGGUCGCGUUCCCUGGACCGGCGGGUGGACGAUCUCCACCGACAACUCCAGGUCCUGAAGGGCCAUUCUAAAGAUUCCUUCGCCGACUUAGAGAUCUCCUCCCAGCCGGCGC
rnacentral:lncRNA from 1 species